CUAACAUGGUUUUUGUAUCACAAUAUUGCAACCAGGACUGAUACAAUGCUAAUAUUAAAAACCCUGGUUUGAAUCCCCUAGCUAUUUGCAUUAUGAGGCAGAUACUCAGCUACUGGGAAUUGUCAUCUAAUUUUGUAUUAUGCUUGCUAGAAGGAUUUAGAACCGUGUUUUGGUAGUGCACUAUUUGUUUUGCCUGCUAGAAAGAUUUGUUUCCCUAGAUUUGUUUUGCUUGAUAUCCUGGUAUGAUAAUGUUGGCUGAAGUGGAACGAUGUAAUGAUAAUUUCUUUUACUCAUCUAUUUAUUUAUUUAUUUUGAUAAAUAUUUUGGGCUUAAAGUGUCAAAUAG
rnacentral:misc_RNA from 1 species